GACGAACGCUGGCGGCGUGCUUAACACAUGCAAGUCGAACGGACAGGCCCUGCUUUUGUGGGUCGCUCGAUUGGCGAACGCGUGUGUAUCACGUGAGUAACCUCCCCUUGACAUUGGGAUAACUUCAGGAAACUGGGGAUCAUACCGGAUAGGAGCUCCUGCAGCAUGGUGGGCGUUGGAAAAUUUCGGCGUUUGUGGAUGGUCUCGCGGGUUCUCAGCUUGUUGGUAUGGUAGUGGCUUACCAGGCCUUUGAGGGGUAGCCGGCGUGAGAGGGUGAUCGGCCACACUGGAACUGAGACACGGUCCAGACGACUACGGGAGGCAGCAGUAGGGAAUCGUACGCAAUGGGCGAAAGCCUGACGGAGCAACGCCGCGUGAGUGAUGAAGGUCUUGGGAGCGUAAAACUCUGUUAUUAGUGAAGAACAAAUGUGUAAGUAACUAUGCACGUCUUGACGGUACCGAAUCAGAAAGCCACGGCUAACUACGUG
rnacentral:rRNA from 1 species